GCCCUUCAGGCCUAACACUGCAAGUCGAGCGGAUGAAGGGAGCUUGCUCCCUGAUUUAGCGGCGGACGGGUGAGUAAUGCCUAGGAAUCUGCCUGGUAGUGGGGGAUAACGUUCCGAAAGGAACGCUAAUACCGCGUACGUCCUACGGGAGAAAGCAGGGGACCUUCGGGCCUUGCGCUAUCAGAUGAGCCUAGGUCGGAUUAGCUAGUUGGUGAGGUAAUGGCUCACCAAGGCGACGAUCCUUAGCUGGUCUGAGAGGAUGAUCAGCCACACUGGGACUGAGACACGGCCCAGACUCCUACGGGAGGCAGCAGUGGGGAAUAUUGGACAAUGGGCGAAAGCCUGAUCCAGCAAUGCCGCGUGAGUGAUGAAGGCCUUAGGGUUGUAAAGCUCUUUUACCCGGGAUGAUAAUGACAGUACCGGGAGAAUAAGCCCCGGCUAACUCCGUGCCAGCAGCCGCGGUAAU
rnacentral:rRNA from 1 species